GCUCCGGUAGCUCAGCGGUAGAGCAGUUACCGGGCUACACCACCACGACCGCAGCAGAUCCGUUCAGACCCCGCACUGACCCGCGGGCCGAAGCCGGACGGUUACCGGUAGAGCGCCCGGCCGUGAGCCGGGAGGUCGGCGUGUUCAAGUCGCGCCCGGAGC
rnacentral:tRNA from 1 species